rnacentral:rRNA from 1 species
GAUCCUGGCUCAGGAUGAACGCUAGCUACAGGCUUAACACAUGCAAGUCGAGGGGCAGCAUGGUCUUAGCUUGCUAAGACUGAUGGCGACCGGCGCACGGGUGAGUAACACGUAUCCAACCUGCCGUCUACUCUUGGACAGCCUUCUGAAAGGAAGAUUAAAUACAAGAUGGCAUCAUGAGUCCGCAUGUUCACAUGAUUAGAGGUAUUCCGGGUAGACGA